AAGUGGUAACAAAUUUAAAUAUGAAGUAGAAAUCCUAUUGAACAGUUUUAGUUUUGCUUAUAUGUCAAUAUGAAAACUCCCGAAAACGUCCUUAAUAUGUUCAACCGGCGUUUGCAUAUUUUACAUGUUCAAACGACGUUUGCAAAUUAGACAAUACGGGGAAUAACAUGGAAUUAUGUCAAAUAUAACUUUGCAAAUGGAAUUAUAAAUGAGUUAGGGACGGGAAUGGCAUUUUAAAAGACAUAUCCUCUAUUAUUUUACCUCAACAUGUAUUUCCAGUGAAAAAAUUGAUUGGAAGAAGGAAAACCUAUCGGCGUUUGCUUUGCGAAAAGAACAUUUGUGUCGAAGUGUUCUAAAAAACUACUAAAGUCUAGUAAUGACUACUCACAUAAAAUAAAAGCUUAAUUUACGCCGGGUCCUACGGUCUAUGUCUUAUUUUUGUGCUCGCAGUGGGAAAAAGAGAUAUCUGCAAAUAAUUACCUAAAAUUGGGUCCGGCGUUUGUAUUUGUGGUCACGUGGCAAAACUUGUUCAUCCAGGGUGAAUAAAAUCAUAUGGAAACCAGAACAUGAAAAGGCUUUAACGACAUUAAAGCAAGUAUUGACACGAUCACCAAUAUUUCGACUUCCUGACUUUUCAAAGUCAUUUGUUUUGCAAAGUGAUGCUUCAGACACAGGAGUAGAGGCUGCACUUCUUCAACACUUUUAUUAUGGUCUGCUUCCAAUACCUCACGCGAGUAUGACAUUGCAGAAUAGAGAAAGAAACUACUCGGUUAUCAAAGGGAAUGUCUUGCAAUGGUAUUUUGAAUAAAGAAAUUCAACAAAUAUUUGAACGGGAAAGAAUUUGAGCUGCUUACAGACCAUGCUCCUUUUACGUAUAUUCAGAAAUGAAAAGUUGAAAUCGGCCGCAUAAUGGGAUGGGCAUUGUUUCUACAGAACUAUAAGUUUAGAAUAGUAGCUGUGAAAGGAAAGGACAACGUAUGUGCAGAUUAUCUAAGUAGACUCGAUACCUGAAAAGAGGCAUUGCAGAUUAUUCAUUUUGUUUGAAAACAGUGGAGUGUUUUCUUCAGUAGCCCCUGUCAGAAUAAUCAUGAAGUUUAUAUGUAGAGAAAUGUAUCUUACAACGAGUUAAUAUUUCACUACAGUGAUAUAUUGUUGUAGAUGAAACAACUACACGGGGGGGAAUCACGUGACUUUGUAUAGUAAUACCCACGAGAAAAUGGCGACUGCUGAGCCCCGUACCUGCAAUUUGGACCAAAAACGCAAAGGAGAAGAUAUUCGCCAUAUCACAUUGAUAUUUAGUGCCAUCAUAGAACUGUAAAAUGAGGGUCAAGACACACUGAAACUGCAGAGGUCAAAGAACUACUAUCGCAACAGAAAAAUAACACUGAGCCGUAUAAUAUCAAAUCCCAUCAAAAGUUCAUUUGAUAUAUUAUGAUUACAACCGUUUAAGCAUUCGUUCUAUAGACAAAAAGUGAAAUAUUUGAUCUUGAAAAAUUGAAAUAAGUAUUUUCUAUCUCUUUAUAUAUGGACUUUAACUUUCUUUUAAUUUAUAUGUAUGCUAAUGGAAACUGUGCAUGAAACUUACUAUUUUGUUUUCGUGCGA